AAGGACAUAAAUGAUGAGGAGAGUUUCUUGGGAGCUUUCCAAUAUGAAGAAGAUGGCAGCAGGAUACAAACCUUCAAACUUCCUGAUUAUAAAACUGACUCCUUCACCCAUGUGAGCCUACAGCCAGUCAGCCUCGGCAGAUGGCUGUUCAUCCUGAGCCUGGUUCUGCUGGAGGUUUCUUCCUUUUAAAGGGAGUUAUCCUCUCCACUGUUGCCUUGUGCUUGCUCAGGAUGGGGGAUCCCUUGGAUUAAACAUCCAUCGCGAUCGGCUGGUGACCCCUCCACAGAAU